ensembl:lncRNA
AGACAUCAACACAACUGAAUACUUAAUAUUAUUUAUUAUGAAAUGACAGCUAUGAUGGAAGUAAGAAGAGAACACAGAGGAAGGAAAGGACUUGCCUGGGGAUCAAAAAGAAGGCUUUGGGAAACCUGCAGAAGAGGAAUUCCAAUCGAUCUCACCCAUCAUGAAUUCAACAAACAUGUCUGGAGCAAAAUGUCCCAUUUCAGGCAGGAUUUGAUCAGAAGAGGACGCCCUGUGGAUGCAGACAAACCUGAUUUUACUUUCUGGAUCUACAUGAAUCAGGUGAGCAAAUUUGGAUAAUUUGCUUCUAACUGGACCUAACAUAAAAAUAUCCAGGUUGCAAAAUUAUUUUGAGCUUCAACAAGACAGACUGAUGUUGUGGGGAUGAAAAAAACAUUUCCUCCUCGAGUGCUGUGGCUUUAAGAACUCUCAUCACUUUCGUGCUCAGAAUUUCAGGGCUGGAAGGACCCCUGGUAAUCUCCACUUUCCUUUCAAAGAGGGAAACUUAAAGAGGUUAUAGGAUAUACCUAUGGUCAUAGAAGUAGUGGUAAAAUUCAGACGAGAACUCCAUCAUUUCCUGAAAGUGAAACUGGUCAACGACAAAAUGUGAUGAGGAAUCGAAUUGAAUUGAACCCAAUGAGCUGAUAGUGGGACUCAAAAGGGGAAAUCAACACAACCAGGAAGGUGCCAGUCUAGUUGAAGAAGAAUAGAACCACGUCGCAAAGUUUGAGGAUCCAACACAGAACACAAAUACACCAAGCUGUAGAUCCAGAGGUUGGAGAAAUAUAAUUCUGUGGUAGAAGACAUAAUGAAAUCUACCUUGUAGUUAAUAAAAAGAUCAUAUCCUUCCAGCUGCCCCAUUAUUUAUUAAUAGGGCAAAUAUUUUCGUAUUCAUCGUAUGUGUUAGAUGCUCUUUUUGUAGUUAAGGAGAAACUAAAGUACAGGUUUCCCCGUUAUCUCAGAGUAGGGUGUUCCUGUGAAACAUUGCAUAGGCUGAAAUGACAUAAAAUGAAGAAGCAGUUACCAUUAAUUUAUAUGGAAAAUUUGAGUUUUCUCAGACCCCCAAAAAAUAACCUCUGCUAGGCCUUUCUGAUACCUUAGGACACAUCUUGCUAAUGCAGGCACAAAAUAAAUAAAGCAUAGACGCUCAGAGACAUUGUUCAAAGCGACAGCGCCUUGACGCAGAGUGUAGUGGCAAGUGCCACUCUUGCUGCCUCUGUGAUGGCCAGCUCCAAAAUAAAUAUACUGAACGCAAUUUUCAUUUCUCGCCUUUUCCCCUAAAAGUAAAAAUCCUCUUCAGAUGGCUUUUAGUUAGCAAAAACUAACUGAAUCAGUACCACAUCAGGUGCUAAUGUGGGUCUUUAGUAAAAGCAAAGUGGCUUAACAUGAACUUUCGAAAAGCGGGGGAUACCUGUACUCCUAAAAACUUUGCAGUUAAGGAUCUGCGGGAGAUCUGCUGCAGCGGGGACACUGCCAUCAAUUUGGUGUUGAUUUCCCGAAAAACAAACCAAGUGCAGAAGGCCCCCUAAUUGUCAGAACAGCAGGUAAGAUAACCCUCGGUGGGCACCUGGCCAGACCUCUGAGGCUGCCCUUCAGCAGGUGCGGUAACACUUUAAAGGAGCAGGAAGAUGCAAUUCCUCCUCGAGCUCCCAGCUCCUCCUCCGCCCCGCCCCACCUCCCUCGCCUUCCAGGUCUUGCGUUGUGGGCCACGCCCCUGCGCGCUGGUUGGGCCUCACAAACAUGAUGAA